rnacentral:tRNA from 1 species
AGGAUAAUAGUUAAUAUUAACGUUUAAUUUGCAUUUUAAAAAAAAUUGGCUAAACAAUUUAUCUUA